rnacentral:rRNA from 1 species
UCCUGCAGCUUGCUCUCUACCACCCUCACAUGGUUGCACACUGAAGCUAAGCAGGGUUGUGCCUGGUCAGUACCUGGAUGGAAGACCACAUACGAAACCUGGGUUGCUGCAACAA